UAACCUGAUUAUGUGCUCAUUUGAGCAAAAACUUUUAAUUAGGACACUCCCCUUUUUUUGUGGUUUGAACUACCAAUAACUUGGUUUUUGCUCAAGGUUUUUUUAGGGAGCCAACUUUUUUUUUUCAAAAAUACAUGUAUUUUUGGUAUUUCAAAGAUUUUUUUCUCAAAUAAAAAUCCUAGUGCAUUGUAUUUAAUU
ensembl:ncRNA ZK938.9 ncRNA